UACGUAGGUGGCAAGCGUUGUCCGGAUUUAUUGGGUUUAAAGGGUGCGUAGGCGGUUCCAUAAGUCAGUGGUGAAAUACAAUAGCUUAACUAUUGAGGUGCCAUUGAUACUGCGGAACUUGAGUACAGACGAGGUAGGCGGAAUUGACGGUGUAGCGGUGAAAUGCUUAGAUAUCGUCAAGAACACCGAUAGCGAAGGCAGCUUACUAGACUGUAACUGACGCUGAGGCACGAAAGCGUGGGUAUCAAACAGG
rnacentral:rRNA from 1 species